AAAUUGAAGAGUUUGAUCAUGGCUCAGAUUGAACGCUGGCGGCAGGCCUAACACAUGCAAGUCGAACGGUAACAGGAAGCAGCUUGCUGCUUUGCUGACGAGUGGCGGACGGGUGAGUAAUGUCUGGGAAACUGCCUGAUGGAGGGGGAUAACUACUGGAAACGGUAGCUAAUACCGCAUAACGUCGCAAGACCAAAGAGGGGGACCUUCGGGCCUC
rnacentral:rRNA from 2 species